AACGAACGCUGGCGGCAGGCCUAAUACAUGCAAGUCGAACGGUGUAGCAAUACACAGUGGCGCACGGGUGCGUAACACGUAUGCAACCUACCUUACAUUGGGGGAUAGCCUUUCGAAAGGGAGAUUAAUACCGCAUAAGACAGUAACUAGGCAUCUAGUAGCUGUUAAAGAUUUAUCGAUGUAAGCUGGGCAUGCGUCCAAUUAGUUAGUUGGCGAGGUAAUGGCUCACCAAGACGAUGAUUGGUAGGGGAACUGAGAGGUCAAUCCCCCACACUGGCACUGAGAUACGGGCCAGACUCCUACGGGAGGCAGCAGUAGGGAAUAUUGGGCAAUGGGCGCAAGCCUGACCCAGCCAUGCCGCGUGCAGGAAGAAGGCGUUAUGCGUUGUAAACUGCUUUUAUACAGGAAGAAACGACCCUUGCGAGGGGCAUUGACGGUACUGUAUGAAUAAGCACCGGCUAACUCCGUGCCAGCCGCCGCAGUAAUAC
rnacentral:rRNA from 1 species